rnacentral:rRNA from 1 species
UACGUAGGGUGCGAGCGUUAAUCGGAAUUACUGGGCGUAAAGCGUGCGUAGGUGGUUCGUUGUGUCUGUGGUGAAAGCCCCGGGCUCAACCUGGGAAUGGCAUUCGAGACUGCAUAGCUAGGAUGCGGAAGAGGGAAGCGGAAUUUCCGGUGUAGCGGUGAAAUGCGUAGAUAUUGGGAAGAACACCGGUGGCGAAGGCGGCGCUCUGGACCGAGACUGACGCUGAGGCGCGAAAGCGUGGGGAGCAAACAGG